CGAAAGGCUUUGGAUCCCAAACGGUGCAACUAUAGACGCACAAAUGACAACGCUUCAUGGUCAUGGCUGGCAAAGAAAAAUAUCAAAACACAAAGAAUUUAGGAUUUCGAGUAUGGGUUCGACUGGAAGAAAUGGUCUUUUGCUGAAUAGAGGCAGAAGCCUCGGCUAGCACCAAACUUGUUUGUUGUUACCAGGGUAGUUAUUGGGUUCGGUCGGGUCCAAGGGCAAUUUGUGACGCCUUUCUCGACAACACUGUCAUGAGUAAGUAUCUACAUUGCCAUCGGUGGGCUAACAUGGACUGCUAAUGCAGUUUGCUGAUUUUCUCGACCAACAACUAGAGGUGUUAUUUGGGAUAUGAGUACCGCUCAUUGCCCUGAUGCUUGGUGCUGUGCAGGAAGUGGCAUGGUUGCCCAUGCUUUGCCAGUUUCAGAUUGAUGAUCUUCAUUCUUGAAGCCAUGAGAUGUGCAAUCUGGUUACAUGACUUUCUUGUCAGUGAUUACAAAGAUUUACAUGUCUGAUUGAGAGAUGCUCUUACCUAUAGUAUACUAGCAUACAGUAAAGCAGCUGCUGUUUCUAUAUGCUAGCAGAAUAUUGAGUAUGUGGUCACUCUUAAGCAGUCACAUUGAGGCUUUCAUAUCUUUACUCAGCUGCAGAACACCUCAAAGCCACAAUAGGCUGGUUUGCAAGCAAAGUUAUCCUCUGUGGGACAUCCAUUAAAAAUUGGAGCUUUACAAGGUGAUAGCAAAAAGUAGAGAAACAGUCCUGAUUUUUGCUGACAAUCUGCACCUCUGACCCUUUUGAACAGAACUCAAGUUAUCAUUUGAAAUCACGUAUGGCUAAAGAUGAAAGGAAAAAACGACUGCAUCAGAUGCAAGCCUAAACUUCACAGGUAUGUCUUUGGCCAACCCUGGCUGCUACAGUCUUCAACUAAGCACAUAGCCUCCAUUAGUGGAAAAGGAAGAGCAUUAGAAGCAGUGGCUACAGUUAAUGGUAGUAGUACUUUUUAUCUGCAAACUGUUUUAGAGCUGGUAAGUGAUGCUAGAAAAAAAUUUGAGGAGCAUGAUUACGCCUUUGAGGCAAUGGCUGAAUUAUCGAUGUAGUUUGUGUUGAGACUUUGGUUGAAUAUACUGUUAAAGCAUCUUAUGAGAACUCCAUUUGGUCUCUAAUUGGAUUGCCUUUUGAUCUGUGUUCAUGUAAUAAUGCACUAGUUUAGCAACCCCUCUCUAGAACCAGUUCCAGAAUCUAAGCAACAUUAAAAAAAAGUUGGAACGACCAUUGCAAUUGGCUGAGUAGUAGAAGAAUGGAUAGAUGCUUGGGCCCAUUCCAUUCCCCAAGGGUUUCUACAUCCACGUUAGUUGCAUCAUUGCAUUUGCUGACUUGGUUCCUGUCCUGUUAUUUUGACUGUACUAAUGGUGAUCCCGGCACAUGCUGUCGGGCUAGCUGGGAAAUGGUAAGUAAAAAAUACUUAUACCAAGGAAAUUUGGAAUGCAUUUGUAUACAAGCACUUCCCAACUUCCUCAGUGUAAGCCUACCUAUGAAGCAGCACUCAUGUAAGAUGAACA